GAUGAACGCUGGCGGCGUGCCUAAUACAUGCAAGUCGAGCGAACAGACGAGGAGCUUGCUCCUCUGACGUUAGCGGCGGACGGGUGAGUAACACGUGGAUAACCUACCUAUAAGACUGGGAUAACUUCGGGAAACCGGAGCUAAUACCGGAUAAUAUAUUGAACCGCAUGGUUCAAUAGUGAAAGACGGUUUUGCUGUCACUUAUAGAUGGAUCCGCGCCGCAUUAGCUAGUUGGUAAGGUAACGGCUUACCAAGGCAACGAUGCGUAGCCGACCUGAGAGGGGGAUCGGCCACACUGGAACUGAGACACGGUCCAGACUCCUACGGGAGGCAGCAGUAGGGAAUCUUCCGCAAUGGGCGAAAGCUUGACGGAGCAACGCCGCGGGAAUGAUGAAGGUCUUCGGAUCGUAAAACUCUGUUAUUAGGGAAGAACAAAUGUGUAAGUAACUAUGCACGUCUUGACGGUACCUAAUCAGAAAGCAACGGCUAACUACGUG
rnacentral:rRNA from 1 species